AGGUUCUCCUGAAAGCUUGUCAUUAAAAAAUUCUAUUAGUCCAAUAAAAAAGGUAUUACAAGAUACAAAUUUUAUCUGUUUUUUUACAUCUACAUCACUGGACUAAUACGGCUACAAUCUCUACUUGAACACUAUGAGGGGAGAUAGAGAGAUAGAUAUUUUUUUUUUUUAUUGGAGUAGCCCCCAAAAUAUUGGGACAUAUAAAAAAAAAAAAAACCCUCUGUUCCGCAGAGUAGCUGUUGACAUAGUUGCGCAGGCACUUUGUUGACUCUAGAGAACCUUGGGCCAAUCACACAUCCCUGUAACGGCGACUUUGCAUUUGGAUGUCAUCCAUAUCAACUUUCGAUGCCAGUUUCUGCACCUACCAUGGUGACCACGGGUAACGGGGAAUCAGGGUUCCAUUCCGUACAGGGAAAUGGCUACCACAUGCAAGGAAGGCAGCAGGCGCGCAAAUGACCCACUCCCGACGCGGAAGUUAGUGACGACAAAUAAUAUAGGACUCUUUAGAGGCCCUGUAAUUGUAAUGAGUCCACUUGAAAUCCUUAAACUCUGAUCAAUUGGAGGGCAAGUCUGGUGCAGAGCGACUGACCCGUGCGUUCUGCAGCUGAAACUCCACUAUCGCCUGCUUUCACAGUCU